CAAUCGAAAGUUUUUUUUAGGGGGAGGUUUUUUAAUAACCUUGGGCUAUCUGGGAGAAUAAAGAAGACCACACUCCACAGUGGGCUAUAUCCCUAAACAUAUAACUCACUACUGUUUUGUGGCCUAUAUU